UACGUAGGGUGCAAGCGUUAAUCGGAAUUACUGGGCGUAAAGCGUGCGCAGGCGGUUAUGUAAGACAGUUGUGAAAUCCCCGGGCUUAACCUGGGAACUGCAUUUGUGACUGCACGGCUAGAGUGUGUCAGAGGGGGGUGGAAUUCCACGUGUAGCAGUGAAAUGCGUAGAUAUGUGGAGGAACACCAAUGGCGAAGGCAGCCCCCUGGGAUAACACUGACGCUCAUGCACGAAAGCGUGGGGAGCAAACAGG
rnacentral:rRNA from 1 species